UAGGGAAUCUUCCGCAAUGGGCGAAAGCCUGACGGAGCAACGCCGCGUGAGUGAUGAAGGUCUUCGGAUCGUAAAACUCUGUUAUUAGGGAAGAACAAAUGUGUAAGUAACUAUGCACAUCUUGACGGUACCUAAUCAGAAAGCCACGGCUAACUACGUGCCAGCAGCCGCGGUAAUACGUAGGUGGCAAGCGUUAUCCGGAAUUAUUGGGCGUAAAGCGCGCGUAGGCGGUUUUUUAAGUCUGAUGUGAAAGCCCACGGCUCAACCGUGGAGGGUCAUUGGAAACUGGAAAACUUGAGUGCAGAAGAGGAAAGUGGAAUUCCAUGUGUAGCGGUGAAAUGCGCAGAGAUAUGGAGGAACACCAGUGGCGAAGGCGACUUUCUGGUCUGUAACUGACGCUGAGGCUCGAAAGCGUGGGGAGCGAACAGG
rnacentral:rRNA from 1 species